UACGGAGGGAGCUAGCGUUGUUCGGAAUUACUGGGCGUAAAGCGCGCGUAGGCGGCAAUGUAAGUUAGAGGUGAAAGCCCGGGGCUCAACCCCGGAACAGCCUUUAAGACUGCAUCGCUAGAAUCCGGGAGAGGUGAGUGGAAUUCCGGGUGUAGAGGUGAAAUUCGUAGAUAUCGUAAGGAAGACCAGUGGCGAAGGCGAGUCUCUGGACAGUUACUGACGCUGAGGCACGAAGGCCAGGGGAGCAAACGGG
rnacentral:rRNA from 1 species